CCGAUCAUGUGCUAGAACGUGCACGACUUAAACUCUCCGACCAUGAGGGAGGCAGAGCGUGAGGUGGUCGCGGCUCACCUAGCCGCCAUCCUUUGCUCCCAAGAGACAAAAUUAGAUGUUUGGACUCCUGAACUAGCACGCGACAUCGACGGUGGCACCCUGCUCGGUUGUGUCGUGCUGCCGGCCAUCGAUACGCGUGGAGGCGUCGCCAUCCUUUGGAACAAGGACAUAGUUUUAGUAGACACCCAUGCCAUAGGUCAGUUCGCAAUCACGAUGAGGAUUACCCUAGCCUGCAACCUCACGCGCUUCUGGCUCACCACGGUCUACAGACCGGCCGAGGACAUGAACAAAGACGACUUCCUUGCCGAGCUAGCCUAG
rnacentral:rRNA from 1 species